rnacentral:rRNA from 1 species
UACAGAGGUCUCAAGCGUUGUUCGGAUUCAUUGGGCGUAAAGGGUGCGUAGGCGGCGGGGCAAGUCGGGUGUGAAAUCUCAGAGCUCAACUCUGAAACUGCACUCGAUACUGCUCUGCUGGAGGACUGGAGAGGAGAUUGGAAUUCACGGUGUAGCAGUGAAAUGCGUAGAUAUCGUGAGGAAGACCAGUGGCGAAGGCGGGUCUCUGGACAGUUCCUGACACUGAGACACGAAGGCCAGGGGAGCAAACGGG